CAGCAGUUCGUCGUUCGCUAUCGAUCCUUUUCAAUUUGUUUAUCAUCGAUAUUUAACUCAUCCAAUUUUUACACCUAAUAUGUCCAUUUUUCGACAGAUUUUUCCAGGAUUAUCGCGGAAUAGCAAUUUCUCAUUGGUUGUAAUAUUCGCUUGUCCGAUUGGUCUGAAUAUUUGUGUUAUACAAGCGAACGAGAAUCAACUAGGAGUUGUGUUAAGUGCGUGCGCGUACGUUUGUUCGUUACUCGGGGGAAGAACGAGGGAAAAAAGUGUGGCGGACAAGAGACAGAUGCCAAGUUGCUGCAAAAGCGGUAUUAUUUCAAAACAUGAUGUCAUUAGAUGCUGCGCGGAAUUUGUAAAUACAUUAUCAAUUAGGUGGUCGCGCGGAGGACAAGGCGUCAUGCACUUUUAAUAGAAAUCUGCUCGCCAAACCGACCAAUAUUACUCGUUUGUUGCAAAAUCCUCGAGCAAGAGAGAAGCACCGCGAAUUUGUUCCGGCGAUUCAACGAGCAACGACCAGAACCGAAUCAACUUUGUUCCAACUUGAUCUUCGCCCGAUUAAAUCGCUGAUAAUUAAUCAACUACGUAGGAAGACAGGUUUAUCAGAUAACGUUCGGUUAAGAUCGUCCGAUACGUCUUAUUAUUCAGAUCUAACAUAUUCUUUCGUCUUUCAUCGUCACGAUGAUGCGAUACGGAACGAUACAUCCUGAUGGUGGAAACUAGGUUGCUCAGUGAGUUGUCGUUCCAAAAAUAUCCAUAGCGAACCACCGACGGAAAGAAAAUGUCGCAGUACAUCCGACAAUCCUGCAGAACCCUGGUCGAAGUUUCUUCGACUGAUCCCUCGAACGUGGAAUCGUAGCCUGCGAAACGCUUUGCUCGUCAAGGCUGGUCGAUCAAAAAAUAAACACGGGCCUAUAAACCGCCGCGAUCUACAAUGACACGGGGAACUUCAUAAAUCACCGAUUCACCAAACUUGCGAAAAUAGGCCGAACGCAAACUUUCCUGUGGAGAUUUCCUCCGUGCUUCCCAACUUCGUCUAAUAUUCAUCCAGUAGGAGACGAAGAGGACGUGUUUUAAGAGAGAAGUUGAUAGCGGCAAAUGGAACAUGACGAUUUUCAUAGGUGCAAUAAAAUCUAUUUAUAAGACGAAGCUCCAGGAAUGUUCGAAAAGAUAUCCGCUAUAUUCACGGCAAUUUCGAGCAAGCCUCUAGCGGGAUUUCUGAGUACUGAAUGUCCUUGUUUAGUAGCGAAAAAAUUGUUUUUUUCGAUCGAAUGGUAAAACACGCAAGGUGAAACAGAGACCGUGUAACGUAUCUAUCUAUGCACAGCCGUUAUGCCUCGGUCUUUUCUCAUGUGCUUGCAUACGAUGGGAAAGAAGAAGACAAGUGAUUGUACAAUGACACCGACGAUCGAUAAAAUAUACGAAGGCUCGGCGAAAAGGUGUAUGGAGAAUGUUGCUCUGAAUGUCUAAAGUUUUAUGAAUACGCGUAGUAAUUUGUUUUAAUGUUUGAAGGGAACUACGGAGUUGAAUUUCUUUCCUUCUUUUUUUUUUUAAGUUCAACUUUGAUCUGGAAAAAUUAUGGAUAAAGCUGAUAUAAAAAACUUAUAGUUAAGUAAAUUUUACCGACGGUAUUUUUCUAUCGAAGAUGGAUUUUACCUAGAAUUAGCUCAAUUUAAAGUUGAAUAGUAAUGAAGAUAAUCUAUGUAUAAAUGUUUCUGAAUAUUAAAACGAGCUUUGAAAAUUC
rnacentral:lncRNA from 1 species